rnacentral:lncRNA from 1 species
UUCACAAAUACCCACUUCAAAUCAGAAAGUUUAUCUUCCUCCAAUAUUUCUCUCUCUAAACUCAAGGAAGAAAAAGAAGCCAUGGACGCUGAAUUUGGGGAUUUCAAAAGAGUUUAUUCAUCAAUUUUAUUCAAGGUUUCUAACUAUAGGUAUGGUGAUCCUUCGUACUUGAUCAAUCUUUCUUUUAUGGAGUCCAAUAAAAAAGGUUUUCAAAGUCUUUCAAAGAUCAAAACCCUAUUAUCUAAUCUAAGCAUGUGUUCAUUGAUAAAACAUUUUCAAAGCAAUCAUAUUGAUAAAAUUAAGGUUUGACUGAUGAUUAUGAGUUGAUUUUACGUUGAAUUUCUUCAAGAACCCAUGAUUUCCUCUAAACUCCUAAAUUGGUUGGAAAUUGGCUGAUUAUGGAUGUGUAAUGAAUAGUAGGUAUUUAUAUGUAGUUAGUUUAUGGAUUCAUGUCAUUAAUUAUGUGUUAUUAUAGAUAAUUAUUGUUGUAUUGGUGUAUUAAAUAGUUAAUGUAUGGGAACCUUCGUUCAUGCAAUUUCUUUCUCCAUGACCCUCCAACUCAAAUUUCGAAAUUGGGUAAUUCUUCAAAAGCAAGAGUUUUUGAUCUAACCAUGGGUCCUUCCUAAAAUGAAUAUCUGUGAGUUAAUUUCUUUAUAUUAUGAAUGAUUAUAUUUUUAAUGGUUAUUUUUGUGAUAGAUUCCCCAUGAACUCAUGUGCUUCCCCAUGACCCCAAUUUUAUGAAAUUGUGAUGGAUAAGUUAGAUGCAAUAUGAAUGUUUAGAAUUGUAUCUAUGUCAAUUUAGUCAAUUAUUAUUGUUAUAUUCAUGCUUAAUGUAUUAAUACUAAGUGUGAUUGCACGAUAUGAGUUAUGAACCUUGAAGGGAAAAUUGUAAGCGUUGAAUCUUAAAGUAUGGUCUUGAAGGCAAUGUAUGAAUACAUCUAUGUUUAACAUUCAUAUAUAUAUAUAUAUAUAUAUAUAUAUAUAUAUAUAUAUAUAUAUAUAUAUAUAUAUAUAUAUAUAUAUAUAUAUGAGUUGUUUGAUCCACUUUUAGUAAAGGUGGUAACUUGUAGUGCAUGCUUAAUUGUAUAUAGUGUUUUUGUGGAAGGAUUAUACCCACAUGACUUGAAAUAUAAUUUUAUGAGUAUACACUUGCAAUGAAUGAAUGAACUAAUUGAAUUACGAUUAGGUCCGUGUAUAGUAUAAUGAAUAUGAAUGUGUUGAGUUGCAUGGUUUAUAAAUCCUUGAAUUCAAUUUAUGAAUAUUAUGCAUGAUUAUGAUAGUAAUACAUGAUUAUGAACACUUUGAGAGGGAAGUGUCUAUGAUGAUAAUGUUGUUUUUUUUCCAUAGAAGGGAACACACUCCAUGCAUAAAUUUGAUUAUGGUAUAUCUAUGGUAUCGAUUGAAAGUAUAGUUCUCAAAUUUACAUUUACACAUUAUAAAAUAUGAAAUUUACAUGUCUAUGAUGUAACUAUUGUGUUGAUUGAAAGAGAUUUCUCAUGAAAACACUAUGAAUGUAUGUAAAAGCAUAUUUCAUAUGUAUAUUAAGAUUCUAAAGAAGAAAGACAGUUCUCAACUUAUUGAUUCAUAAUCUAUGUUAUGAAUUAUAUUGAAUGAAGGCUAAAGUAUUCCUUCACACAUGUAGAUACAAUCUAAAUACUAUUAGUGUAUCAGUUUGGGAAUAAUUCUUAGCACCAAGUGAAUAUGGAAAAUGUGGUAGAGACUCUCCUGAUAGUUAGGUCAGGUCUUCUACAUAUGAUCUCUUUAGGUGGAAACUCUCCCGCUAGUCAGGCCGGGUUUUUAGAAGCAAUCGCAUUAUCCCAUAACUAUUGUCCUAAUAGGUAUUAGCUUGUGGAUCCACACUAAAGCUAAAUAUGUUAGUUCUACCUUGGGCAAGUAGGACACAUUUUUUUGGUGUGGGGUCAUAUGACACCGGAUUCCAUGUAGCUAACAUGGUAUAUGUAGUUUAAGACUAUAUUCCUUCUAAUGAACAAGAAUAUAAAUUAUGAAUACUAAAGAGAUUUAUAAGCUAUGGUUACUCAAAGGGAUUACUUAGUAUGAGUGGUAGUGUAGGAUUUCAUUAAUGCAUAACACGAGUGGACUUUGAGAGUAGUCAUGGAGUGUUCCUCUUAUGUUUAUAUACUAUAAAUAUGUGUUAUAUUUAUGUACUAUGAAUAUGCAUUAUGAUAUGUACUAUGAAUAUGUAUUAUGUUUAUGCACUAUAAAUAUGCAUUAUGUUAUGUGCUAUGAAUAUGAAGUAUGACUAAGUGCAAUGAAUAUGAAUUAUGUUUAUGAAUUAUGAAUAUGAACAUGACUAUGAAUGUCUCUUUACUAUGUGUAUGAACUAUGGUGAGACUAAUGUGUGAUAGGUAUUUGCAUGGUAGUCCAAAGAUGGUACUUAGUGUAGGUAGGGUUAUGAGACCUUAUCUACAUAUGGCACAAGUGCAAUCUAGGAUUACUUAUGUGGUUAUGCUAUUAUGUAUUAUGAGCAUGCUAUUAAGGAUGUUAACUUAAUGCCUAAUGAAUGAUGGUACUCUUAAUUAAGUUAAUAUAGAAUGUUGAAUUAUAUAAUUUAUGUAAUAAUGUAUGUAUUGCUUGGGUUGUAUUACUAGUUACUUUCUUGUCUAGACUUAAUGAUUAUGAAUGUGCCUUGUCUAGGGUGACUUUAAGGAAUACUUAGUGAUAGUAGUAUUAUGGGAUGCUACUCAUACAUUGCACAAGUAUGAUUUAGAGUUGUCCUUAGGGUAUGGUCUUAAUAUGUUUAUGUGAAGAAUGUAAUGUUUAUUAUUCUAAUGAAUAUGAAUUAUCCAAAGAUUGUAUGUUGAUAUGUCCUAAUGUGAAGAUAUGAUUAGUAUAUUCAUGUGUUUUGGAGAUUAUGCCUGAGAUGCUCUUAAUUAUGAAGUUUUACCAAAAUGACAUAUGCAUGACUUUCAAAUGAAAUUUCCCUUCCUAAGCAUGUUUUUGCAUGGUAAUCAUACAUAGUCUUAAUUGUGGAUCCAAUAUUUCUUCUACUUUAUACUACAAGUGUAGGUUUUGGCAAGAGAUAGAGUUCUGUAGAUUCAAGGGCUUGGGAAGAGUUCUCCAAGACCAAGUGUAUGUCCUCAUGAUUCGGGCACAAGUAUUUAGAAGUUUCUUGUAUUUAAUUUGUAAUAGGUUAUGUCUAGUUUUGUUUAAGUCUUUCGAUUGUAAGGGUCGUGACCCUAUCUUUAGGUUCCAUGUCUUGGUUAGAUAGCUAUGUGAGAUGUAGGCUUCCACUAUAAUUUUAAAUGUUGUGUUCUUGAAGUGAAGGGUUUUGAAUGAAAAGUUUUAAUUCCUUGUCC